CCUACGGGUGGCUGCAGUGGGGAAUAUUGGACAAUGGGCGAAAGCCUGAUCCAGCCAUGCCGCGUGUGUGAAGAAGGCCUUCGGGUUGUAAAGCACUUUCAGUGGGGAAGAAAGCCUUGGGGCUAAUACCCUCGAGGAAGGACAUCACCCACAGAAGAAGCACCGGCUAACUCCGUGCCAGCAGCCGCGGUAAUACGGAGGGUGCGAGCGUUAAUCGGAAUUACUGGGCGUAAAGCGCGCGUAGGCGGUCUGAUAAGCCGGUUGUGAAAGCCCCGGGCUCAACCUGGGAACGGCAUCCGGAACUGUCAGGCUAGAGUGCAGGAGAGGAAGGUAGAAUUCCCGGUGUAGCAGUGAAAUGCGUAGAGAUCGGGAGGAAUACCAGUGGCGAAGGCGGCCUUCUGGACUGACACUGACGCUGAGGUGCGAAAGCGUGGGUAGCGAACAGGAUUAGAUACCCUAGUAGUC
rnacentral:rRNA from 1 species